AAUACGAGAGGCCCAAACGUUAUUCGGAAUUACUGGGCUUAAAGAGUUCGUAGGCGGCGCGGAAAGUAGGGUGUGAAAGCCCUCGGCUUAACCGAGGAAUUGCGCUCUAAACUACCGUGCUUGAGGAACCUAGAGGUGAGCAGAACAGAUGGUGGAGCGGUGAAAUGCGUUGAUAUCAUCUGGAAUACCGGAGGCGAAGGCGGCUCACUGGGGGUUUUCUGACGCUGAGGAACGAAAGCCAGGGUAGCAAACGG
rnacentral:rRNA from 1 species